rnacentral:rRNA from 1 species
CUGGCGGCGUGCCUAACACAUGCAAGUCGAACGAGAAAGUGGAGCAAUCCAUGAGUAAAGUGGCGACCGGGUGAGUAACGCGUGACUAACCUACCUCCGAGUGGGGAAUAACUCCGGGAAACCGGGGCUAAUACCGCAUAACAUCGCAAGAUCAAAGCAGCAAUGCGCUUGGAGAGGGGGUCGCGGCUGAUUAGCUCGUUGGCGGGGUAACGGCCCACCAAGGCGAAGAUCGGUAUCCGGCCUGAGAGGGCGCACGGACACACUGGAACUGAAACACGGUCCAGACUCCUACGGGAGGCAGCAGUGGGGAACUUUGCGCAAUGGGGGAAACCCUGACGCAGCAACGCCGCGUGGAGGAUGAAGCCCUUUGGGGCGUAAACUCCUUUCGACUCGGACGAUAAUGACGGUACGAGUGGAAGAAGCACCGGCUAACUCUGUGCCAGCA